GCCUACGACCAAAUGACUCAUCAUGCACUGAUCUCAUCAGAUCUUCGUAGGUAAGCAGGGUUGAGCCUGGAUAGUGCUUUGAUGGGAGACCACCAUGAAUAACAGGUGUCAUAGACU
rnacentral:rRNA from 1 species